rnacentral:rRNA from 1 species
UACGAAGGGGGCUAGCGUUGCUCGGAAUCACUGGGCGUAAAGGGCGCGUAGGCGGCCUGAUAAGUCGGGGGUGAAAGCCUGUGGCUCAACCACAGAAUUGCCUUCGAUACUGUUGGGCUUGAGACCGGAAGAGGUAAGUGGAACUGCGAGUGUAGAGGUGAAAUUCGUAGAUAUUCGCAAGAACACCAGUGGCGAAGGCGGCUUACUGGUCCGGAUCUGACGCUGAGGCGCGAAAGCGUGGGGAGCAAACAGG